rnacentral:rRNA from 1 species
GACGAACGCUGGCGGCGUGCUUAACACAUGCAAGUCGAACGGACAGGCCCUGAUUUUGUGGGGUGCUCGAGUGGCGAACGGGUGAGUAACACGUGAGUAACCUGCCCUUGACUUUGUGAUAACUUCAGGAAACUGGGGCUAAUACCGGAUAGGAGCUCUUGCUGCAUGGUGGGGGUUGGAAAGUUUCGGCGGUUGGGGAUGGACUCGCGGCUUAUCAGCUUGUUGGUGGGGUAGUGGCUUACCAAGGCUUUGACGGGUAGCCGGCCUGAGAGGGUGACCGGCGACAUUGGGACUGAGAGACGGAGCAGACUCCUACGGGAGGCAGCAGUGGGGAACACUGCACAAUGGGCGGAAGCCUGAUGCAGCAACGCCGCGUGCGGGAUGACGGCCUUCGGGUUGUAAACCGCUUUCGCCUGUGACGAAGCGUGAGUGACGGUAAUGGGUAAAGAAGCACCGGCUAACUACGUG